rnacentral:RNase_P_RNA from 1 species
ACAGUUGGGCGGUCUGUCGCUGGUAGUUUUAACUACGAGAGGAAAGUCUGGGCAACACAGAGCAUCUUACUUUUUAAGAGAAAGUAAUCCGUGAGGGUUAAGUAGUGCAGAAGAAAAUAACCACCUACCCUGUAGGAACGGGUGAGAAGGUGAGGCAAAAGCUCACCAGUUGUAUGGCAACAUGCAAGCUGUGCACCUUAAGAGUUGUAAGAUCAUGUAAACCGACGUUAAGGAGGGUUGCUCGCCCCAUGUCGGAGGGUAGAUCGCUAGAGUAAAAUGGUGACAUUUUACGUAGAUAAAUGACAGGCAUUCUGCUUUGGCAGAUUACAGAACCCGGCUUAUAGCCCAACUGUUUUU